ACUCCUACGGGAGGCAGCAGUGGGGAAUAUUGCGCAAUGGGCGAAAGCCUGACGCAGCCAUGCCGCGUGUGUGAAGAAGGCCUUCGGGUUGUAAAGCACUUUCAAUUGGGAAGAAAGGUUGCGUGUUAAUAGCACGUAGCUGUGACGUUACCUUUAGAAGAAGCACCGGCUAACUCCGUGCCAGCAGCCGCGGUAAUACGGAGGGUGCGAGCGUUAAUCGGAAUUACUGGGCGUAAAGCGCGCGUAGGCGGUUUGUUAAGUCGGAUGUGAAAGCCCGCCGCCAACCUGGGAACUGCAUUCGAUACUGGCCGACUAGAGUACGAGAGAGGGAGGUAGAAUUCCACGUGUAGCGGUGAAAUGCGUAGAUAUGUGGAGGAAUACCGGUGGCGAAGGCGGCCUCCUGGCUCGAUACUGACGCUGAGGUGCGAAAGCGUGGGUAGCAAACAGGAUUAGAUACCCU
rnacentral:rRNA from 1 species